ACCUUUGUGGUGUAGUGCUAGCACACGUCCCUGGUAUGGAUGAAACGCGGGUUCGACUCGUCUAAGGUC